AGUAGAAAAAGUAUUCUUUACUGAAGCAAUACUGCAAUAGGAAAAUACCCAAUUGGAAGUAAAAGUAUAAUAAUAAUUUUAUUCAUAUAGCACUUUUUAAAACACAGUUACAAAGUGCGUCAUAAAUAGGAUACAAUACACACAUACAAAUACAAGUAUACAUACAUACAUACAUACAUCCAUACACACAUACAUAUGCAUGGUACAUAGACAAAGAUUAAAGCAUAUGACCAAAAUAAACAAAACUAAAGGCAAACAGAGAGUGUUUAUAAAAAGGCCAAGUAUGUAAGUAUUGUUAGCAAAAUGUACUUGAAAUAUCAAAAUUAAAAGUACACAUAAUUCAGAAAAAUGGCCCCUGUGGGUGCCGUACUAUUAUGCACUAUAUUAUUGGAUUAUUAUUCCUGAGGGAUUAAUAUGUUAGUAGCAUUUUAAUGUUGUUUAAUGUUUGUCGAUGUGGAGCUAAUUUUAACAAUUCUAUAUACUGUUAGUAGUUUAAUCUAUAAACAAUGCAUCGGAUUUCAUAAACCCAUCAUAUAUUUUGUAAGUAUAAAUUUAAACUGUAACAACAGCAAGUAGCAUGAAAUGGAAACACAAGUAAAGUACAAGUACCUGAAAUGUGUAUUUAAGUAACUGUAUUUAAAUACAUUCCACAACUGGUUGGUUUUUGUGCAGUACUGGUCAGAAGAACCAUCUCUGAGGAUAGGAGGAAUCCUGGCAUUUUUGUGAGGCAUCAACAAAUGAAACACUUGUUUCCGAGAUCCAGUCCUCUGUCCAGCUCGCAGGCUUGUCCGUUAUCCCCUCUGUGCCCUCCAACGGCUCCCAGUACCGUCCCAUUGCCAUCUGCAGGGUGCCAUCUGUUGAUGAUGAUGGCGUGAUGGUCCUGAUGAAGACAUUCUGCUCAAGAUGGUUGUGGAAGCAUGUCCAUGUCACAGUACAGACACAAACCAGACUUCUUAACCAAGUGCUGAGGCAAUGGAAAAUAGAAAACCAGACACUUUUGCAUGACUGUGGGCAAUUAUAGCAGAUACCACCGCUUAUCCCCAAAGCUUAAUCUAAAGAUUGGAGCCCAUCAUCACAGGUCUAAACAGCAAGUCACACCCAGUGAGCUAUUACUGACAAUACAUGCAAAAACUAGAGCUUACAGUAAAGUACAAUCACUGUCAUAUAAAUCACAAAGAGGAAUAUGUCUUUUCUCCAGUGCUUUAUAGUUGUGCAUAGGUUAUCUAACGCUGGGCUGCACUUUAUUUGUUUUAAAUCCGCUGCCAUCUGGGAUUACAAUAAAAAACAGUGAAACGGUGCAGAUUCAGGAGUAUGAAUACAUCUGUAAGGAUUUUAGGCUCAGGGAGGACAGGGAGAGCAGUCAGCAUUCUGCUGUUGUUGUAGAGCUGCAAACUUGCUUCCAAGAGACAGUGACUCCUAUUACUGGAGAAGCAGAAUGGUUGAGAUCUGCUGAUUAAAGAUCUUGAGGUCAAGACAUUUAACAUUGUAAUGUGCAGCUGAAUAGGACUCGUGACUCCUGUCUCUGCAUGUCUAUGUUUAUGUGGGUGUGAGUGUGAGCUAAGUGUUUCAGUAUCCAGUGUUACAUUUGCAUUUAAGUGUGCGGAUUAGUUCAAUUAAACAAAAAGACAUUGCCCUGAUCAGAACUAUAUACUCACUAGCUAAAAAAAAAAAAAAAAAAACAACCCCUCCACUAUAGUAAAAUAAUGUUAAGCACACCUGACUGAGUCUGCAAAGCUGUGCACCAUCUACUGGUAUGAUGGAGUGCAGCAACUCUCUAUUAGAGAUGGAGCAUGUACAAUUAAAGUAAGUACAAGAUAUGACCUUAAACUUCAUUUUCAGAGGUAUACAUGAUCAGCGUAGCCAGAUAUACCUUUCAUGGUUAUCAAAACCCAUUUAAAUAAUUAAACAUGAUGAAAAUAAUCAGACAUGGGAACUUUACAAUGUACAAGUUUAUUUUUAAUUAACUCUUCAGUGGUUGGUAGUCACAGCACAGCUUGCAUGUAUUAAGCCACACACCUAUUUUACAAGAUGACGGGGAAAAAAAAAAUAAAGAAAAUAACAAAAAGUCUAAACCAGAGUAGAUGGUCAUCAGUCCAUCUGCAGUGACUUUUUUUUUUUUACUUUUACUAAAAUAUCCUUAAAAGGCCACUGAAAUGCAUAAAAUGUUUUCAGAUGCAUGAAAUGUCUGAUGGUGGCAAGUUGCUUUAACCUGACAUCAAGACUCCUCACAUGGCAUUGACAGUGCAUGUAGACAUUGUAAAAAGGACUGGGUUAGCGAUACCUAAGAUAUUUAUUUUUUUUUAGUGACAACACCUUGGCUAUAAUACUACAGCUUUAAAAAAUUGGAAACAAAAUUAACAGCACUCUUUCAAGAUACUGAAUACAAUGAAAGUGAAAUGUAGUGAAGCGAUUUUUUUUUGUUUUAUCUCACAAUUAUGUGAACACUUAUUUUAAACUGGAAAAAAGCACUGAACACUGCAAGCCGUCCCGUGUAAGAGAGAGAGGCUCUACUGUACUGUAUCCAAUGUCUUUAGACUAUAAAAGAAAAAUAAUUAAAACACACCUUUUUGUCCUCUGGAAUUUGUAUACUUUUAAUAGUAACAGACGGGAACCAUAAAUGCAUGCCAUGUGCUGGUCUCAAACAAAUACAUACAGGUAUAUACAGCAUCACUCAGUACCUGCUAAAACAAAGUGAGAAAUACAGGGUAUAAACUGACUACACUACAAACUUAAAACAAAAAAAAACAAAGAAGAAGAGGAGGAAGGUGAGCGAUGAAGCGGUGGAAGAGUGAAAAAUCCUACAUGUGAUGGACUCAUCAUUAAAGCAUUAAAAAAAGAGAAAGAAAUGCAUAUUGCACAUACAGUGAAAGCUUAAAUUCCACCAGGUCCGCCUCGUUUCGCUAAAGCGAGAAUUCAAAAUUUUCCCUCUUGGAGGAAGACACACAGAGGUACAAAAAUGGGUGAGUGUGGGCAAGUGUGUGUGCGCAUUGGUGAUCUGUGUGUGGG